ACGGACGUCCACACGCUCGGGACGACGCGACUUGUUUGACGCCCUUGAAGGCCCCUUUCCGGGCUGCCUAACGCGACACAAGUGUCAGCUUGUGUUAACUGAAUGCCUAUUGUUUGCGUAAGGAGAAAAUAUUCCCACAUAGUCUCCUUGUUCUCAGGGCCAAUCCGCUUCCCUGGAAGAGCCUCUUUCGGCUGGCUUUUUCUUCAGGCAGCGCCGCGGGCAGCCCGCAGGCCCUUGUGUUGCGCGCGCAGCGACACCGCCUCCUUCUUUUCGGCCGGAACCGCCAUCUUUCAGGUAAGGACUGCUCGUGGCUCCCGGGACCCUGCGUUCCUUAGGCUCGAAUUGCGACCCUGCGGCCUCAGAUGACAUGCACUGGGAUACUAGAGAGUCUGUUUACCCAAUCUGGGGUCCAGUGUCCUGGGCGGUUGGGUCUGUGUCCUGCCAGACCCGGAGCAGCAUGCGCUGUGUUAGGGCCUGGGCAGUGGGCUGAGGACCCGACCUGCGGUGCCGUGGCCCUGAGGUGCUACGGUUAGGAAGACGAAGCCGACUCACUGGGGACGAAGUGAGUUAAUCUGCGGUUAAUCUGACUAGGAUUCAGCCUCUCAUAUCUCUGUGACUUCGGUCGCGGAGUCCUGGGCCCUCGUAGGCUGUGCGGGGCCUCGUGGCCUGAUGCUUUUCUAACUCCUUUCAAUGUAACGUGGACGGGUAGGCACUUCCGGGUCUUAAGAACGGGUUUAAAACAAGUCUUGGAUUUGAUCUCCAGUGAGCCUAAAUGUCUGAAUUUCUGGCUUCGUGGUUGGGUAACGAAGUGGCUGCCCGCCGAGUCAAAUCUGGUUAAUGAGUCUCAGAUCACUCUUGGAUUGUGCGUGAAUUGAUAGCCUGUUGCUUUUAGUUUUGGCUCGGGAUUGCGAGUGGAUGAAGGGAAUAUAUGUUAAGGUUGCCUUACCAGUGCUCAUACAUCAAGAGGGGAAGAUGUGUGUUGAGUGAAAGCAUUCCACAACAGCAAUAUGUCCGAUUUAGGAGUUUAGGGGUGAAUUUUAAUAAUUAUUUAACAAACUGCUGGCUUCACCCCACAUAGCGAUUCUAGUUGGCAAAUUUGAUACCAUUGUAGGCUUCAAGCAUCAUUGGUUUGCAUGGGUAAGGUAUCGUUUUGGAAAACUGGUUCAGUUUUGUGUGUGUUAGGUCUAGGCAUAAAAUAGAUGCCAGGAAAAUGAG
rnacentral:lncRNA from 1 species